rnacentral:rRNA from 1 species
UGGGGAAUAUUGCACAAUGGGCGCAAGCCUGAUGCAGCCAUGCCGCGUGUGUGAAGAAGGCCUUCGGGUUGUAAAGCACUUUCAGCGGGGAGGAAGGCGUUAAGGUUAAUAACCUUGGCGAUUGACGUUACCCGCAGAAGAAGCACCGGCUAACUCCGUGCCAGCAGCCGCGGUAAUACGGAGGGUGCAAGCGUUAAUCGGAAUUACUGGGCGUAAAGCGCACGCAGGCGGUCUGUCAAGUCGGAUGUGAAAUCCCCGGGCUCAACCUGGGAACUGCAUCUGAUACUGGCAAGCGUGAGUCUCGUAGAGGGGGGUAGAAUUCCAGGUGUAGCGGUGAAAUGCGUAGAGAUCUGGAGGAAUACCGAUGGCGAAGGCGGCCCCCUGGACGAAGACUGACGCUCAGGUGCGAAAGCGUGGGGAGCAAACAGG